AUUUUUGUCUGAAAACUCUGAAUUUUGGGGAUUUUAGGGCUAAACUGAGCUAAAAACCACAAUAUCUUCAAAUUGAAAUUGAUGCCUCUCCCAUUGACUUCAACAGGUCUGAGAUGGAGUAUUUUUGGAUUCAGGCAUUUUGCAGCUUCGGGAUAUAACGAAUAUCAGAGGGUCGCGAAUAUCAGAGGGUCGCGCCCAUGGUAUAUGGAUCAUGAUGGUAAAGUUCCACAUCUCCCAUGCUCAGUCCUAUCAGGGAUUUAAUCAAUGUGGAUCGCUGGCACCAGUGGAAAAAAAUAAUGAUUCCCUCAUCAUCAUCAUCAUUUCUGGAACAGUGCUGAAUGGAUUCCCCUUCCUGUACUGUCACCUCUCACCCCAUCCUCUUCCUCUCUUUUUUUCCUGCCCCAGCUACCAGGCCCUUUCACUCACCCAAAUAAGCCCGGGGCACUCAGCCAGGAGCCUCCAACACUUUCAUUCCUACCUUAUUUUCCUGCGAUGACUCAUUGACGCUCACGGAGUAAACACAGCGAGGGGUGCUGGGAAUCUGUGCUUUGAUCUCCCCAUUUAUCUGACAAUGAUUAACAAAUGGGGCGUGGCUGGCACACAGGAUCUGGGGAGGAGAACUUCAUAAAUGGUAUUUUUAGAUUUGGGGAUUUAUAUAUGUUUAUGUAAUUUUAUGUAAUUCCUGUAGAGGUCGCUGUUGCAUGGCCUAUUUAAGGAAGUGACAUUGGAUGAUUAAGGGAGUUACUCCAGAAACGCGUCAGGUGAUGUUGAUCUGUGACCUGUUGCAAUAAGCCACGUUUUCAUCCAGAGGCUGCCGAUUCUAUUUUUUCAAGUUCAAGAAAAA